UACGGAGGGUGCAAGCGUUAAUCGGAAUUACUGGGCGUAAAGCGCACGUAGGCGGCUUUGUAAGUUAGAGGUGAAAGCCCGGGGCUCAACUCCGGAAUUGCCUUUAAAACUGCAUCGCUUGAAUCCGGGAGAGGUGAGUGGAAUUCCGAGUGUAGAGGUGAAAUUCGUAGAUAUUCGCAAGAACACCAGUGGCGAAGGCGGCUCACUGGCCCGGUACUGACGCUGAGGUGCGAAAGCGUGGGGAGCAAACAGG
rnacentral:rRNA from 1 species